UGAGGCUCUGUCACUUCCGGCCAGAGCUUCGGAGUUGGGGGGCAGCGGGAGCCCGCGCUGGCCGCGCGCAUUACCGGACCCCAGACCCGGAAUCGCCGCCUGGGAUUUGCUGUGGGCUUCGAGCUGAUGGCGCCUUUCAGAUGCGACCUAGUUCUACCUGAUUUGCUGAGGUGAUCAUGAAGCAUGAUGAAUACAAGCAUCAGCACAGGCUGAGUUACAGCUGAGACACUUCUCCCCAAAGUACUUUCCUCAGCAGAACUGUAAUAGAGGAGCUAGUGGUGCAGAAGAGAAUCAAAGACUGGAAGGAUAAUUGGGAUUGGCUACUGAGCAACUUGUGACUGCAGAGUGCAAGAGUGCAGAUUACCUCUUCACAGAGCUGGGGGAUAAGUUGUUGUACUUGAGUCCCUUUCCUCCAGCUGUGAAACUGCAAUGUGUGUUCC